AAAGGUUCAAAUUAGUUGGGAGCACCUUCACUUAAUUAUAACAGUGGUUUUGUUAGGAAAACAGUUCUGUAUACCAAUACUAAAUUGCGUUAACGUCAACGGCUAAUGUAUCUAACAUAGCUAACCGUUAUUUUUAGCACAGCAUUAACAGCAAGCUACAAUGACGAGUAACAAAAACAAAACAGUAAAAAGGUUUUAAUGAAAAUGUUUUACCUUUUCCAACAGUCCCAGAAUCCAGAGCUUCAAAGACCAGCAGGUACUGAAGACUGUUAUCCGUUUCGCUGUCACCGUCCGUGAGAAAGUGUUUUUUCCCUUAGAAAGUUCAAUGCCUGGCGGUCGCGCAAUCUGCCUGCGCAUGCGCAUCCCAACGAUUGACCCCUCCCCCCCUUCCCUUUCGGGAGGUUGCCAUAUUACACGUGUUCUAACGUAACGCUCUCUCUCUCUCUCUCUCGCUCCCUGUCAUUUAUUUGGCUCGAAACACAUAUUAACAAAUUGCUCAGUGAUAAACAAGUACUCAUAUCAUUUACCUAAGCAGCGUGCUUUGUCAAAACUAAGUAAGUGGCCCCGCCUUCCUCCAUGGAAAUCAGUGUUCCAGGACUCACGGGGGAUUGGCUGGCCCCGGAUCUGUGCCCGCCUCAACUUCAUGCAGAUCAGAGUGUGCCAGACCACUCACACCAUUGGCUGCUGCAGGAGCCUUGAACACGAUGGACCAAUGACACGGCUGCCUGCAUUUACCGGGGAAUACAAAAGGCUGGAGGUCCUUCACUCAGUGGCUGCUGCUUAGGACUGAACAUGCAGUUUGCCCUUCGUGCCUCCCUCUUCAAUCUUUGUUGAACUUGUUUCUUUGUCAAACCAUGAUGCAUGCUUGAACUUAGCCUGAUUAGAGCUUUGCGCUGCUAGCUGGCUGUGAGUAGAAAUUGUGAUGCUGGCUCGCCUUAGUUUUCCCUUAGCUUUUAUUUUGUGUGCCGCCAGCUUGCCUUAGUUAACCUUUGGCUUUUACUCUUGUCUUCUUUUUUUUGUCUUUAUAUAGUAAUUGUUUGCCCAGAGGUCUGUUGAACAGCCCUGUCGGUUUAAAGUUUGAAAUUAAAACCUUUCUUUACUCAGUUUUGUGUUUGGGGCUUGUGUAUGUUACUCCUCCCCUGACGCCUAGCAGAGGGGGUCGUAACAGUCGGUAAUGAACACAGAGUGUUUGUUUUGCUUUGUUUAUUUGUCUCUUUGAAUUCUAUGUUGUUGUACUUUUUUAACAUGUUCAAAAUAAAGAUUCAAUCAAUCAAUCAAUCAAUCAAAUAUUAAUCGUCAAUUUUAA
ensembl:lncRNA